rnacentral:rRNA from 1 species
GGUAUGAAUGGCUAAACGAGAAAUAGACUUUUUUUGUUAUAAAAAUUGAAUUUAAUUUUUCAGUGAAAAAGCUGAAAUUAUUUAGAAAGACGAGAAGACCCUAUAGAGUUUUAUGUUAUACAAUUGUUAUUUAUAGUAGAUUUUUAUUAAAUUAUAAUUUUUUAACAUUUUGUUGGGGCGACAUUAAGAUAUGUAAAACUCUUUAUUUUUUAUAUUUUUAUUGAAAGUUUAUUGAUCCUCUAAAAGAGAUCAGAAGAAAAAAUUACCUUAGGGAUAACAGCGUAAUCUUUUUUGAGAGUUCUAAUCGACAAGAAGGUUUGCGACCU